CCUACGGGGGGCUGCAGUGGGGGAUAUUGCACAAUGGGGGGAACUCUGAUGCAGCGACGCCGCGUGGGUGAAGAAGCGCCUCGGCGCGUAAAGCUCUGUCAGCAGGGAAGAAAAUGACGGUACCUGAAGAAGAAGCCCCGGCUAACUACGUGCCAGCAGCCGCGGUAAUACGUAGGGGGCGAGCGUUAUCCGGAUUUACUGGGUGUAAGGGGGGCGCAGACGGCGAUGCAAGCCAGGAGUGAAAGCCCGGGGCCCAACCCCGGGACUGCUCUUGGAACUGCGUGGCUGGAGUGCAGGAGGGGCAGGCGGAAUUCCUGGUGUAGCGGUGAAAUGCGUAGAUAUCAGGAGGAACACCGGUGGCGAAGGCGGCCUGCUGGACUGCAACUGACGUUGAGGCCCGAAAGCGUGGGGAGCAAACAGGAUUAGAUACCCUAGUAGUC
rnacentral:rRNA from 1 species